ACGAAGGGUGCUAGCGUUGUUCGGAAUCACUGGGCGUAAAGCGCGCGUAGGCGGCGACUCAAGUCAGAGGUGAAAGCCUGGAGCUCAACUCCAGAACUGCCUUUGAAACUGUGUUGCUAGAGUGUCGGAGGGGAUAGCGGAAUUGCUAAUGUAGAGGUGAAAUUCGUAGAUAUUAGCAGGAACACCGGUGGCGAAGGCGGCUAUCUGGACGACAACUGACGCUGAGGCGCGAAAGCGUGGGGAUCAAACAG
rnacentral:rRNA from 1 species